CUUCAGCGAACCCAGGUGCAACGGCCGCUCGGGGUCCCGGCCCCGGCCGUAGGUGGCCAGCAGUGCCUGGGCCUC
rnacentral:antisense_RNA from 1 species